GCCAGACUCCUACGGGAGGCAGCAGUGGGGGAUAUUGCACAAUGGGGGAAACCCUGAUGCAGCGACGCCGCGUGUGGGAAGACGGUCCUCUGGAUUGUAAACCACUGUCCCCAGGGACGAAGAUGACGGUACCUGGGGAGGAAGCUCCGGCUAACUACGUGCCAGCAGCCGCGGUAAUACGUAGGGGGCAAGCGUUAUCCGGAUUUACUGGGUGUAAAGGGGGCGCAGACGGCCAUGGCAAGCCCGGUGUGAAAGGCAGGGGCAUAACCCCUGGACUGCACUGGGAACUGUCAGGCUGGAGUGCCGGAGGGGUAAGCGGAAUUCCUGGUGUAGCGGUGAAAUGCGUAGAUAUCAGGAGGAACACCGGCGGCGAAGGCGGCUUACUGGACGGCAACUGACGUUGAGGCCCGAAAGCGUGGGGAGCGAACAGGAUUAGAUACCCUAGUAC
rnacentral:rRNA from 1 species